AUCAACAAACAUUUAUUCUAAUAACCACUGUACUGGGCUCAAGAGGGAAGGAAAUCUGGCUACGGUAACACACACCUGUAACCCCAGCACUUGAGAGACUGACAUCUGAAAGAUUCAAAGAACAUUUGAGAUUGAACUGGGAGCAAACAGAGGGAGACUUGGAAGAGGAUGAGUAAACCCUGGAGCACGUGAUCGUCUAAGAGCAUCAGAGGAAGAGAUGCUGUUCCAGGGGAAAGGAAAGGAGAACAAGGAGACUGAAGAUGCUGCUUGGUUGCUCCUGCAUCUCUGGAUAAACUGACAAAGGAAAAGAAUGAGGUCCGUGAUAAAAUGAACCAGCUCCUAGCAUCUCAGAAUAUGAUGAAGGACAACAAUGAACUCAGUGAUAAAACUGACCAGCUCCAGAUGCACACAAAUAAUCUAAUGGUUUAUAAGUGUGCCCUGGAAGAGACUCUUCUCUCCAGCAGCCACAGAGCUCACGUUGCAGAAAAUCAAACCAAAGCCCGCAUUAUUAGAUUGGCUGAACUACAGCAAAAAUUCAAGUCCCAGCCACGGAGGGUGUCAGAAGCUAAAGUCAGGGCAUUACUUGGUAAAGAAUGGGAUCCUGUAACUUGGGAUAGACGUGUGGGAGGACCCCACUGAAGCUGAGAACUUUGAACCCUCAGAUUCCUAAGGAUUUAUCUCACCUGAGGAGGUUGUCUCUCCAUCUUCAGCAGAAGAUGUACUCCCACCCCCUGAAAUGGUGCCUCUUUUGCCUUUGAUGAAAUGAAUCCUUCAUUGUCUGCCAAACAGCUGGUUAGCUCCUCUGAAGGAGAUGCCAGACAAGACAGUACUCACAUCCCUCAGGGCCCACCAAUAGUUAGUUACCUUUAGACCUUAAGGCUUUAGACUUAAGGCCAGGAAGGCUCCUAGAGGGGAGAUAGAAAGUGUAGUCCAUGAGGAGGUACACUACACUACUACAGAGCUUAAUGAGUUUGCUAAUUCAUUCAAGUAGAAGUCUGGGGAAUAUGUGUGGGAAUGGAUUUAAAGGGUGUGAGAUAACGGUAGAAGGAACAUAAGACUGGAUGAGGCUGAGUCUAUCGAUAUGAUCCUAUUCAGUGGAGAUUCUAGGUUUAAUAUGGAAGCUUCCACAGUUAAAAAAAAAAAAAAAUGCCAGAAAUUUGUUUGAAUGGCUGGCUGAAGCAUUUGCCAAAAAGAUAACUACUGAAAAGGAGUUGGAGAUGCCUGAUAUCCCUUAGCUUAGUGCUAAUCAAGGGAUUUUAAGGCUCAGGGAAAUUGCAAUGCUAGAGUGGGUGUGCUGUGUAAAAGCUAACCCUCCACAAUGGAAAGGCCCAGAAGACGUGCCCUUCACUAAUCACUAAUCGUAUAAGACCCAAAAUGGUGAAAGGGUCACCAGCACAUUUGAAGGGCUUUGUUGUCACCCUUUUCCUUGUGCCAGACCUCAGGGUUGGAGACGCUGUUGCUCAGUUGGAUGGAUUAAAUGCAAUGGGUUUAAUUGGGCCCCAAGGUAGCAGGGGCCAGGUGGUAGCAUUGAAUGACCAAAGGCAAAGGCCAGGUGAGCGUAGUUAUCAUAGUGUGCAGCAUAGACAAUGCAAUGUCCGUGGUGGGCUGACCUGUUAUUGGUCAGCACAUGUAAAAUGGUUUUUAUGGUGGCGUGACUUGUAUGGACCUUUGGUACUAGCUAGCCAAUCAUGUUUCCAGGCAUGAAAUAAAUAAGAAGCCAGUAAGCAGCACCCCUCCAUGGCCUCUGCACUAGUUCUUGCCUCCAUGUUCCUGUCCUGUUUCAGUUUUUGUCCUGACUUUACUCAAUGAUGAACAGUGAUG